CUAACCUCAAUUUUACAAGGAAGUAAAUUGAGAAGUUUAUUAAUGGAAACUGGAAUAUCUGCAUUUUUAACGAACGCUAUUUUGUGAUUUAAUUGUUGAGUUUGUAGUGCACUCAAACACGUUGCAAGAUGACAACUCGAGGGUAACAAGAACCAACAGUUGGAAACUCUAUACAAAACUUGAUUUCCGGCGUGGAGGACGUUCUUCGCACAGCUGGUCCGGCCAAAGAUCAAUUGAUUGGACUUAAGUCUUAUAUAAGACAAUUACAAACGCAAUAUGCGGAAGAGGAACUCAAAGCCCUUAGAAGUGAGAAUAACAAACUAAGAAACGAACUUAUUAUGCUGAAAACUAGUGGUUGUGAAUCGUUAGCAAUGGUGUUCAAUGAUUUGGAAAGGGCAGUAAAAGUGGCAAAAGAAGAGGCGUACAAAAUAACGAGCUCUAAUGAAGAAGCAAACACCGGGAUGGAAAAACUGGAAGAAAUGAAAAAACAGUUUGAAGAUCAGAAUGAAGAACUCCGUAUAAUCAAUAAAGAAAAAUGCUCACUGCACGGUAUUUGCGAAGGCAAGGACAAACAGAUAAGUUCACUCCGGACAACGUGCGAAAAACUUCAAACCGAAAGUGAAACACUAGAAAAACUAAAUGAAGACAACCUCAAAAUAUUACAGAAUGAAAUAAAUGAACUGAAUGCAACUUUUUCAAAGCAAGUAGAUGUACAUCUAGUAUUUGCUUUAAAGUGAAACAUAUAAUUAUAUUCAGACCAAAUAA